CAGUCGCCGCGGUAAUACAGAGGGUGCGAGCGUUAAUCGGAUUUACUGGGCGUAAAGCGUGCGUAGGCGGCUUCUUAAGUCGGAUGUGAAAUCCCUGAGUUUAACUUAGGAAUUGCAUUCGAUACUGGGAAGCUAAAGUAUGGGAGAGGAUGGUAGAAUUCCAGGUGUAGCGGUGAAAUGCGUAGAGAUCUGGAGGAAUACCGAUGGCGAAGGCAGCCAUCUGGCCUAAUACUGACGCUGAGGUACGAAAGCAUGGGGAGCAAACAGGAUUAGAUACCCCUGUAGUCCCUGUCUCUUAUAC
rnacentral:rRNA from 1 species